CCCUUAGAUGUUCUGGGCCGCACGCGUGCUACACUGAGUGGAUCAGCGGGUCAGGUUGCGCGAAAGCGUUUCCUAAUCUUUAAAUCCGCUCGUGAUGGGGAUUGACGGUUGCAAUUUUCUGUCAUGAACGAGGAAUACCUUGUAAGCGCGGGUCAUCAUCCCGCGCUGAAUACGUCCCUGCCCUUUGUACACACCGCCCGUCGCUCCUACCGAUGGGUGAUCCGGUGAAUGAUUCGGACUUCAGCGGCUCCCCUGGGGUGCGCCGGAGAAAGUUUUGUGAACCUUAUCACUUGGAGGAAGGAGAAGUCGUAACG
rnacentral:rRNA from 1 species